UUUUUAGAAACAUUACCUUUACUAGUUUCUGAAAAAACCACUUGAAGGGGAAAGAUUUCAAUCACUUAUUUUGUUGAAUAAUCUACAAAGGUUGUUUGGGUACAAAGAACCUCAUUAUCCUUUGAGGUUUUACUACCUUCUUCCUUUCCUUCACAAAUAUGGUGAAACAUUUUCAAGGGCGCUAUAAUAGUGUGAUAACCAACCUUCUUCAUCCUCUUCUUUCGAACGUAUUUUCGUGGUUCCAUGGUGGGAUGACC
rnacentral:lncRNA from 1 species